rnacentral:rRNA from 1 species
AGCGAACGCUGGCGGCAGGCCUAACACAUGCAAGUCGAACGGGCUCUUCGGAGCUAGUGGCGGACGGGUGAGUAACACGUGGGAACGUGCCUUUAGGUUCGGAAUAAGCCCGGGAAACUGGGUCUAAUACCGGAUGUGCCCUUCGGGGGAAAGAUUUAUCGCCUUUAGAGCGGCCCGCGUCUGAUUAGCUAGUUGGUGGUGUAAUGGACCACCAAGGCGACGAUCAGUAGCUGGUCUGAGAGGAUGAUCAGCCACAUUGGGACUGAGACACGGCCCAAACUCCUACGGGAGGCAGCAGUGGGGAAUCUUGCGCAAUGGGCGAAAGCCUGACGCAGCCAUGCCGCGUGAAUGAUGAAGGUCUUAGGAUUGUAAAAUUCUUUCACCGGGGACGAUAAUGACGGUACCCGGAGAAGAAGCCCCGGCUAACUUCGUGCCAGCAGCCGCGGUAAUACGAAGGGGGCUAGCGUUGCUCGGAAUUACUGGGCGUAAAGGGAGCGUAGGCGGACAUUUAAGUCAGGGGUGAAAUCCCGGGGCUCAACCUCGGAACUGCCUUUGAUACUGGAUGUCUUGAGUGUGAGAGAGGUAUGUGGAACUCCGAGUGUAGAGGUGAAAUUCGUAGAUAUUCGGAAGAACACCAGUGGCGAAGGCGGCAUACUGGCUCAUUACUGACGCUGAGGCUCGAAAGCGUGGGGAG